UUGGAAGACAACGAUGGUAAACGCCAAGGUCUUGAAAUUGGUUAGCCAGCCAGAGAUAAUGGGAUUUUUAUGGGACUUUGACUGAGCCACCCCACAAGCCUCUCUCUCUCUCUAGGGCUGCCAACCCAACAUAAUCCUUCGUUUCUGAACCUCCAUACUCCUCUCAGACUCCCAGCCUCUCUCUCUCUCUCUCUAGGGCUGCCAACCCAACAUAAUCCUUCGUUUCUGAACCUCCACACUCCUCUCAGACUCCCAGAAUCUCAGCUCGACUCCUGAAAGAAAGAGAAAAGAGGGGGUGAAGAAAUGGGCAUCUCAAGCCCAUUCAAAGACCAAACCCACCCUUAUACUCUCUUCAAGAAACUCUUGCCUUAUGCCCUUUAU
rnacentral:lncRNA from 1 species